GACGAACGCUGGCGGUGUGCUUCACACAUGCAAGUCGAACGAGGUAGCAAUACCUAGUGGCGGACGGGUGAGUAACGCGUGGGAAUCUGCCUUAAGAUGGGGGAUAACGAGCCGAAAGGCUCGCUAAUACCGCAUAUGCCGAAAGGUGAAAGGAGUAAUCCGUCUUAAGAUGAGCCCGCGUCCGAUUAGCUAGUUGGUAGGGUAAAGGCCUACCAAGGCGACGAUCGGUAGCUGGUCUGAGAGGAUGAUCAGCCAAAAUGGGACUGAGACACGGCCCAUACUCCUACGGGAGGCAGCAGUGGGGAAUUUUACGCAAUGGGGGAAACCCUGACGUAGCGACACCGCGUGAGCGAAGAAGCCCCUUGGGGUGUAAAGCUCUGUCAGCUGGAACGAAAAAAAUGACGGUACCAGCAGAGGAAGCAUCGGCUAACUACGUGCCAGCAGCCGCUGUAAUAC
rnacentral:rRNA from 1 species